rfam:Hordeum vulgare subsp. vulgare, WGS project CAJW01000000 data, contig: morex_contig_158829
CAAGUACUCCCUUCGUCCGGAAAUACUUGUCCUACAAAUGGAUGUAUCUAGACUUAUUUUAGUUAUAGACACAACCAUUUUAUUCAUUUUUAAGACAAGUAUUUUCAGACGGAGGGAGUAUUGG